CUAUACUGAAGUUUGUGGUUACAUUUAACCGAAAUGGGCGGAUCUUAGCUGUGUUGCUUAGUCUUUAGCGGGUUGUUUUUUAAACAUGGUUAAUGUGGUGAUAAGUUAAUCGGCGCUCAUUAUAUCUGUUUUAGGGGUUAUUUUUUAAUUUAGGUCAUUAGUUAUGAGAUUGGUGUCCGGUCUAUAUUGAUAGUUUUUUAUGUUUAAGCUAGGGUUAGGGUUACUCGCGCUGUUUAAAUAUGUCAGUAUUUUAGUCAGUUGUGUGAUUUAUUAGAUUAAUAACUUCUUCUUAUUUAAAUUUUUGAGAGUGAUUAUGGGAUAAUAAGUAAUAAUAUUAGGUGUAUUUUAUCUCGGAUUUGGUCCGACUGUUUAUUAAAAACAUUUCCUCGCUUUUUUUGUGAGGUAUGACCUGCCCGGUGGGUUUAACGGCCGCAGUAUAUUGACUGUGCGAAGGUAGCAUAAUUAAUUGCCCCAUAAUUGGGGGCUUGUUUGAAUGGUUUAACGUGAUUGACAUUCCAGAUUACAUCUUUUUUUGAAUUUAAUUAUAUGAGUACAGAAUCUAUAUCAGUUAGUUAGACGGAAAGACCCCGGGAUCUUUAUUUUUGUCUGGGGCAGAUGGGAUUAAUUUAGUUCCUUUGCGAUCCUUAGUUUAAAGGUUUAAGUUACCCCGGGGAUAACAGAGUAAUAGUUUAUUAGAGGCCCUAUCGAUUAAAUUGUUUGCUACCUCGAUGUUGACUUGGAUAAGUUUAUAGGCGAAGUAGUUUAUAAAUUAGGUCUGUUCGACCUUAAACAUCCUCAUGAGUUGAGUUA
rnacentral:rRNA from 1 species